GACGAACGCUGGCGGCGUGCUUAACACAUGCAAGUCGAGCGGUAAGGCCUUUCGGGGUACACGAGCGGCGAACGGGUGAGUAACACGUGGGUGAUCUGCCCUGCACUCUGGGAUAAGCUUGGGAAACUGGGUCUAAUACCGGAUAUGACCACAUGCCGCAUGGUGUGUGGUGGAAAGAUUUAUCGGUGCAGGAUGGGCCCGCGGCCUAUCAGCUUGUUGGUGGGGUAAUGGCCUACCAAGGCGACGACGGGUAGCCGACCUGAGAGGGUGACCGGCCACACUGGGACUGAGACACGGCCCAGACUCCUACGGGAGGCAGCAGUGGGGAAUAUUGCACAAUGGGCGGAAGCCUGAUGCAGCGACGCCGCGUGAGGGAUGAAGGCCUUCGGGUUGUAAACCUCUUUCAGCAGGGACGAA
rnacentral:rRNA from 1 species